GGCCUUAAGCUUCGCCCACCUGCUUCAUCAGGUGUAAUAGGGUACAGCUGGUCUUGCAGCACCUCACUGUCAGGGCAGCCUCAGCCCACGUAGAAAGGCUUUAGGUGGUGCUGUCAGGCUCUUCUCACUGCCCCAAGGCGGUGAAAGAUGAGGUUUGCAUCCUAUAGCUACAGAGUAGAGUGUAUGUGACUGAUGAGCAUCCUUGUCUCCUUGGUGCAGCCUGCUGAGCUGGUUCUAUGGCAUUUUUGGGACUUGUCUUUCCCUGAUGGUUUGCAGGUGCCAAAUUCCUCUCACCCCAACUUCAAUGAUUCUGUGAAAUUCAGCCUCAAGUGAGUUCAUGUGCUUUACGCAGGAGACAGAGCAAGGAGGGGACUCUGAAGUUGCACUUAAACUACAGGGGACGGAACCGCUUUGGGAAUGAAAAGCCCAUGGCUGGCAGCAUUCUGCUUUCUGCUCACCUGAGCUUCCUGCUAAGUUUCUGUAGCUGUAAUUGUCUAUGAGGAGCAGAGUGUCUCAGGUGCAGCUUGUAUCUGCUGGUGCCCUCACUGCCUGCACCAUUAAAGCCGUGCUUCUGAGGAAGAUAAAAAAGCAGCUGAGAGCAAGAGCACCUUCCAAGAAAAGCCAUUUAUUAAGUGCAAGUUAUGUCCCACUGCAAUAUCUUCCAAUUGCCCCACUGCUCUCUAUGUUGGUACCAGCAGCAGGACCAGGCUUGUUGUGAAGGGGAGAGUAGAUGUUACAUUUAUUUCAGGGAAGGAGAGAAAGCACCAUGAGUAAUGUUUGCAGGGAUCACAGCAGCACUGAAGACUUGAGCAAUUGGGGCUGGGAUCCGUGGCAUCUUUGGUGCAAGUUCUGCAGGAAUUAGAGCACAACCUGCAAUGCCUUCGCUGUAUGCAAACACUGCAAAGAGUGCUGAUGGGUUGCUGAAAUCCCCAUAGAACAGUGCUGUCUGGCAGCUCAGCAAGAUGCAGUGGCUGACAUGGAAGGAGUCCUCGGGGCGUGCAGCUCGGUGAUUAGUCAGUCCUGGUUACCACUUCCUCCAAUUAGCAGCAAGCAAAUCAGCAUGCUUGAGUCAACAAGGACCUCAGGAGGAACCAGACUUCCCCAAACCACUGCCAGAUGUCAGCAGACACUCCGACCCUCCCUCCGACCUUUUUGGGCCUCGAUGCUCAUAAUUAGCUGUUAACAUAGACGUGUUUCUGUCGCUCUGCCCCUUCUGCUGCAGGCUGCCCAGCACCAUUGUUAGCUCAGCUGUAAUGAAGCCAUGCACGUGUGGCUCUGCAAUGCUGCAGAGCAUUGCAUCUCCAUCGCUGUUCCAAGCAAACAGGAGCCCAGCUGGAAUCAUGCACAGUGCAGCCUCACUCCCAUUUGGAUCCUGCUCUUUCUCACUUGCGAUCUUUGAUCAUAGAAUCAUUUGGGUUGGAAGAAAUCUUUAAAGACCACCCUGACCAACUCCUCUGCCAGAGCCCUAUCCAGCCUGACCUUGAAGAUCUCUGGAGGCAGAGCACCCACCACCUCUUUGGGCAACCUGCUCCACUGCCUCAUUAC